GACGAACGCUGGCGGCGUGCCUAAUACAUGCAAGUCGAACAGUGGCGAACGGGUGAGUAACACGUGAGUAACCUGCCCUCCACUUUGGGCUAACUCCGAGAAAUCGGGGCUAAUACUGGAUAGUGGGGGAUGGGUGCGCGGCCUAUCGGUUUCUUGGUGAGGUAGUGGUCACCAAGGCGUGACGGGUAGCCGGCCUGGGAGGGGGACCGGCCACACGGUGACUGAGGCACGGCCCAGUCUCCUACGGUAGGCAGCGGUGGGGAAUAUUGCGCAAUGGGCGAAAGCCUGAUGCAGCGACGCCGCGUGGGGGAAGACGGCUUUCGGGUUGUAAACCUCUUUCAGCAAGGAAGCGGUACUUGCAGAAGAAGCGCCGGCUAACUACGUGCCAGCAGCCGCGGUAAUUC
rnacentral:rRNA from 1 species